rnacentral:lncRNA from 1 species
UCAUAUAACUCCACAAUUCGAAUAAACAUUCACAUUAUUGAGAUACAAGCCAUGAUUGAGAUACAUAAAUACAAAUUAUGAUCAGCUUUCAUUCUCUGUCAAGACUGCAUUAAAAUCACCAUAGCUGUCAACUUUUUUCGGAGUAGCUCGCCGGAGAAUCUUCAGGUAGCCGAACUUUCCCGCACCUGUACACUCUGCUUUCCACACCUCCCACGUGUGGCCCAUGAUCCAUUCACCUUUAUUUUCAUUUUCUUUUUUUUAAUUCAUUUUAUUUUCUGUUUUGUUUUUAAAUAAUAAAAAUAUUUUAUUUAUUCAUAAAAAUACCAAAAAAUACUUUUCAUAUUUCUUAAUUUUUUAUUUAUUUUUAUUUAAUUUUUAUUUUCAUGUUUAUUUAAUGUUAAUAUUUUAUUUCAAUUAUUUAUUUCAAGUGGAUCAUUUUGAUAUACAUUUAUUUCUUGAUUUUAUUUUCAUGACUUAGAAUUAUUUUUAGGUUUUGAUUUUUGGGAUGAGGGUAUUUAUUUAAUGUUAAUAUUUUAUUUCAAUUAUUUAUUUCAAGUGGAUCAUUUUGAUAUACAUUUAUUUCUUGAUUUUAUUUUCAUGACUUAGAAUUAUUUUUAGGUUUUGAUUUUUGGGAUGAGGGUUGACCAAUGUCUCAUGGUCAACCUGACCUUUUCUUGGAAUUUUAUUUCCCGUUUUCAAUUUAUUUUGGAUUUAUUUUUGAUCUAGUUUGUUUGGUUGACUUUUCAUUUGACUUCUGUUUUACUUCAAUUAAUUUACAUACCAAUUCUCAUUAUUUUUAAAAACUUUUGGGGGGAUGAUGAUGUCCUGACCCCACCUUACUUAGUUUAAUUUUUCAUAAUUUUCUUGAUUAAUUUACUAUUUAUUUUAUAAUUUUUAAGUUGACUUGACUUUUCAGUUGACUUUUCUAUGAUCGAUGUUUGACUUAGGGAUUGCUUAUGGCAAUUGAAGAGAUCUUUUGAUCCUCCUUUGUUCAUCUCAUAUGCCAUGUAUCAGAGGCCUUUCAUCUUGAUUUUAUUUGAUCCUUGCAUCAUUUCCCGAUUAAAUUAUUCAGUGAUCAUUUGUGUGUAUAGUUUCAUCUGUCUGAUUCAUCUGAUAUUUUGUUAUACUUGUUUCUUUCAUCCAUGCUUCUAUUGUUUGAUUGUUUAACAUGUUUAUACUUCUCAUACAUUGUCUAAUGCUCCAUUAUAUCAUUCUUUGAUUAUUUGAUUUGAUUAUAUACUUGUUUAUUUAUCUGACUUGAUUGAUGAUUGUUGCCUACUUGUAUGAUGUAUGAGGCAUAUAUAUUCUUAUUGUUUGAUUGCCAUGAACAAUCCUCAUUCAUAACAAAUGUACCCCUCUCCCAUAAAGUGUAUAAUAUUUAUUCUUUCAUUCUUUAUUCAUCUGUUAAUACAAGAAUUAAAACGAACAUCCGAUAACCAUUUCAAAACAAGAUCAAAAGCUCGAUCCAACGUCGAGUAAUCAUACGAACAUCCGAUAACCAUUUCAAAACAAGAUCAAAAGCUCGAUCCAACGUCGAGUAAUCAUUUUCAAAACUUAACAGAACCAGCACGUAUUCAUCCAUCCUUUUGUAAGUCGAUUGCUUCAGGCAUCACCAUUUCUCUUGUAAGUCGAUUGCUUCAUUGCAUCGUCAUCUACCUCUUGUAAGUCGAUUGCUUCAGGAUCGCCAUCUACCCUUACCCAUGAGUCCUUUCCUUGCUCCAUCCGUCGACUCUUAUUCCGUUUAGAUAACACCCAUUAGGUAGAACCCUUUGUAUGAUAAUAUAGGUAGAAUUCCCCUUUUCUUUGUAUGAUAACAUAGGUAGAAUUCCCUUAUUCUUUGCAUGCUAACAUUAAGUAAAUAUUCCCAUUUGUAAAUCCUAACACAUAGGUCCAUAUUGCAUGACAACUCUAGGGCAGAGCUUCCCCACUUUUAGACCUUCUGUGCGUCUCCGAUCUUGUGGCAUGUCAGUCCGUUCUAUUGCAAAGAGGUAACUGCCUAAGACUCGAUUCAGCGAACUGCGACACCUACUGCUAGGAUGUGAACACAUUGCCCACUUUCCUUUGACACAACUGGUGUCCUCCUUUGUAAGUCCAUGUUCAGAUGGCAAUCCGUAACCCUUAGGUAGGCGAACUACGACAACUCUGAUUCUCAUGUUCAGAUGAGAUACGUAGGCACGAGAUGCGAUGUCUUGCCGAGUUUUUUGACUGACAACUAACAACUAAUCCUUGCUUGUUUUCGCCCUUGUUGCGAUUCUUUUCUCUCGCCCUCGUUGCGAUCGAGACCUUCCCUUUCUCUUGCCCUAGUUGCAAUCGAGACCCUUGUUCCCGUAGUUAGUUGAACUACGUUUUGCUCUGAUUCUCAUUUCUCUUGCCCUAGUUGCAAUCGAGACCCUUGUUCCCGUAGUUAGUUGAACUACGUUUUGCUCUGAUUCUCAUUCCAGAUGAGAUACGUAGGCAUAAGACGCGAUGUCUUAGCGAGCACACUUCUCCUUAACCCACAGGUAGCCGAGCUACGAAGACUCUGAUUCUCAUAUUCAAAUGAGAUACGUAUGCAGUGGAUGCGACAUCCGCGCGAGUCAUUUUCUUUUGACCCUCUUUUAGUAAAUAGUACAUUAGAUAUACCUACACCCUUUAGACAAGAACAACAAGAGUGGAUCCCGUAGAGUACUACGGAUGCGUAGGGAUGCUAAUACCUUCCCUUCGCAUAAUCGAUUCCCGAACCCAAGAUUUGGUUGCGAGACCUUGUCUUUUCCAUUCUCUUCAGGUUUUCUUCGAUCGUUUCCUUCCCUUUCCUUUGGGAUAAAUAACGAACGGUGGCGACUCUUCUGUUUUCUUUUCCUCGCCGGUUGUUUUUUUCGCAUCCUGGUUGCGACAGCUGGCGACUCUGCUGGGGACCCUGAUUUUCCUAUGCGAGUCCCUUCUAGCUUUUGUAGGUCUCUUGUUUGUUGGGUGUUUAUCCUUUUGUAUAGUUAUUUUACUUUUAGCAUUUAUCUGCUUUAUCUUAUUGCAUUUGUGUACAUAUCAUUGCUUGUAUCUGUUGGCUCUGUGGGGGGUUGAUUGUUUGUUGGGAUGGGUUGUUCUAUGAGAGGUAAGUCCACUACCCAGGCUUGAGUGUACACACGGGUUUUAGAGUGGAUAGUCAUGAGGCUUGCGUAGCAUGUUGCUACGUUAAGUCGUUCAUGAGACCCACACCCAGACGAGGUUUCUUUUGGAUAUAUUAUGUCCUAUGGGUGUUCCAAAGAUACAACUUCGGAAUUUUCAACAAAUAUAUUGAUAAUUGAUCAGUCCAGUGGACAUUCCGAAAAUGUAUCUCCGAAAUAAUUUGAUAAAACAUAGAGUUGCAUGAUCACACAACCAUACUUAUUUUUCACUUAAAAUCCUCACCAAAAACUCUCACCUCUCUUGCAGAUAUUAAAUAUGAAAUCUAUAAUCUCUUACCUUACAAAGACAUUCGAAGAAUUGUGAAGUUCGAGUACUGUUCACCGUCGAUUGACAACAGCGGGAAGAUUGAGUUCAACAAUUUUGAACUCAAGACAGAUGCAAAUGUAAGGACUAUGUAGAAUACAUAUUUCCGUUUUGAAACAAAAGUUUCGCUCGAGUUGGAAGCGACGAUUUCAAGAUAAAUCGAAGAUAUUGAAGCGUCCACCUGGAUAUUAAUGUGUAAUAUUGCAUUUUACGUUGAAAUCAUUUAUGUAAUGUUUAUGGUAUUUUAUGAAUGUUAAUUUUAUUUUAUUUUUGUCUCUACUACUGUUGUUUAUACGUUACAGAAAUACAUUUACAAAAAUGCACUUAUAAAAAUAUAUCAAAAAUGCAUCUUCGAUAUUAAAAAAAAAAAAAACUAAUAAAAUGUCACUCAUAAUGACUUACAUUGAGUGUGUAAUUGAUGCGUCCGAAGAUGCAUUUUUAAAAUCUAAAAAACAUGCAUUAAGAAAUUCUCAAACUGUUAUUAUAAAAAUGCUUGAUAGUAGCCCUGUUGUUGGUACUUGUUUACAAAGUCGCAAGAGUAUUUCUUGAAAUGACAUUUUAUUACUACUUGUCAUCUCAUUAACACAUUUUUCUUGUCCAUAUUUAGACGUUCGGCAUAUGGAUAAAGUUAUAAAUUUUGUGUGAUCUUUUGAUUGUGUUCUCCAUACACAACAAUAAGUAUGCAUAAACCACUAUACAUCAUAUAACUCCACAAUUCGAAUAAACAUUCACAUUAUUGAGAUAACAAGCCAUGAUUGAGAUACAUAAUAAAAUUAUGAUCAGCUUUCAUUCUCUGUCAGAGCUGCAUUAAAAUCACCAUAGCUGUCAACUUUCUUCGGAGUAGCUCGCCGGAGAAUCUUCAGGUAGCCGAACUUUCCCGCACCUGGCGACGAUCCCUCGAAAUAAACGGCAAGUAACC